GGUUUCUUGGUUUAGUGGUAUAAUUCUCGCUUGCCACGCGAGAGGGCCCGGGUUCGAUUCCCCGACCGCGCA